GACGAACGCUGGCGACGUGCUUAACACAUGCAAGUCGAACGGAAAGGCCCUGCUUUUGUGGGGUGCUCGAGUGGCGAGCGGGUGAGUAACACGUGAGUAGCCUGCCCUUGACUUUGGGAUAACUUCAGGAAACUGGGGCUAAUACCGGAUAGGAGCUCCUGCUGCAUGGUGGGGGUUGGAAAGUUUCGGCGGUUGGGGAUGGACUCGCGGCUUAUCAGCUUGUUGGUGGGGUAGUGGCUUACCAAGGCUUUGACGGGUAGCCGGCCUGAGAGGGUGACCGGCCACAUUGGGACUGAGAUACGGCCCAGACUCCUACGGGAGGCAGCAGUGGGGAAUAUUGCACAAUGGGCGGAAGCCUGAUGCAGCAACGCCGCGUGCGGGAUGACGGCCUUCGGGUUGUAAACCGCUUUCGCCUGUGACGAAGCGUGAGUGACGGUAAUGGGUAAAGAAGCACCGGCUAACUACGUG
rnacentral:rRNA from 1 species